rnacentral:rRNA from 1 species
CCUACGGGAGGCAGCAGUAGGGAAUAUUGCUCAAUGGGGGAAACCCUGAAGCAGCAACGCCGCGUGAAGGAUGAAGGUUUUCGGAUUGUAAACUCCUUUUGUUAGAGAAGCUAAUGACGGUACCUAUCGCAUAAGCACCGGCUAACUCCGUUCCAGCAGCCGCGGGAACACGGAGGGUGCAAGCGUUACUCGGAAUCAUUGGGCGUAAAGAGCGCGUAGGCGGGAUAGCAAGUCAGAUGUGAAAUCCUAUGGCUUAACCAUAGAACUGCAUUUGAAACUGUUCUUCUAGAGUAUGGGAGAGGUAGGUGGAAUUCGUGGUGUAGGGGUAAAAUGCGUAGAGAUCACGAGGAAUACGGAUUGCGAAGGCGGCAGGCUAGAACAUAACUGACGCUGAUGCGCGAAAGCGUGGGGAGCAAACAGGAUUAGAUACCCCAGUAGUC